rnacentral:tmRNA from 1 species
UCUUUGGUUUAACAUUCGGGGCAUCGAACAAUAGAACUGGCAAGUGUGAUGUUGCUAAGCACUUGUGAGAAACAGCAACUACGGCGUACGGUAUAGGUAAGCGACUCACCUUCCCUCGCCCGACAAUUAAAGAGAAGCUAAACAUGUAGAAAGCGUAUACAGUACCAUGACUGGACGAGAGUUCGAAUCUCUCCAGCUCCACAA